rnacentral:lncRNA from 1 species
GUGCCAGAAGCACGUGCCGGACAGGCCGGAACCAUCUCCCGGACAGACCGGAUCCACAGGAAACACUCCCCGGAACCACCUGCUUGACUCACCGGUCCCACCUGCAGGACAUGCCCAAAUUGCCUGCCAGCUACACCAGAACCACUUGGGGGACAAGCCGGAAUCACGUGAGGGGCAUGCCGGCACAGCCUCUCAAACGUGCCAGAACCUCGUGCCGGACACCCCAGAACCACCUGCCGGACAGACCGCAACCACCUGCCGGACACGCCAGAACCACCGGCUCGACCCGCCGGAACCACCGCCGGACAUGCAAAAUCACCUGCCAGCUAUGCCAGAACCACUUGGCGAACACUCCGGAAUCACCUGCCGGGCAUGCCGGAACCACCUCUCAGACAUGCCAGAACAAUAUGCCAGUGACCCCGGAAGCACCUGCCGAGCACACCGGAACCACCUGCUCGACUCGCCAGAACCACCUGCCGGACACGCAAAAGUCACCAGACGGCUACGCCCCAACCAGUUGGUGAACACUUCGGAAUCACCUGCCGGGCUUGCUGGAACCACCUGCCGGUCAUGCCAAAAUCACCUGCCAACUACGCCAGAACCGCUUGGCGGACACUGCGGAAACACCUGUCGGGCCGGCCGGAACCACAUCUCAGAUGUGCCAGAACCAUGUGCAUGAGAUGCCGGAUCCACACCCUGAACAGACGGGAACCACCUGGCAGACCCGCCUGAACCACCUGCCGAGCACGCCGGAACCACCUGAUCGACUCGCCGGAACCACCGACCUGACACACCAAAAUCACCUGCCGGGUAUGCCAGAACCACUUGGCGGACACUCCGGAAUCAUCUGCCGGACAUGCGGGAACCAGCUCUCAGACACACCAGAACCACGUGCCGGAGACGCCGCAAGCACCUGCCGAGCAUGCCGGAGCCACCUGCUCGACUCGCCAGAAACAACUGCCGGACACGCCAAAAUCACCUGCCUGCUAGGCCUGAACCACUUGUCGGACUCUCCGGGAUCACCUGGUGGGCAUGCCGGAACCAUGUCUCAGACGUGCCAGAACCAAGUGCCGGACACGCCAGAACCACCUGCCGACCAGGCUGGAACCACCAGCCGAACACGCCAAAAUCACCUGCCGGUAAUGCCAGAAUCACUUGGAGGACUCUCCGGGAUCACCGGCCGGGCAUGCCGGAACCAACUCUGAGACGUACCAGAAGCACGUGCCAGACACGCCGGAACCACAUCCUGGACAGACUGGAGCCACCGGCCGGACACGCACGAACAUCCUGCCGAGAAUGCCAGAAACACCUGCUCGGCUCCUGGGAAAAUCCUAUGGGGAAACUGUCAUACAAAUGAAGGUCAAACGGCCUUUCUUGCCAGGCCUUAGCUCGCCACUUUAGAACUUCUGCUUCUGCCACAAUUCCACCUUGCCAACCCGGCUCAGACGAAAUGCCUACAGAUUCCCCUUGAGCAAUUGGGACGAGGCCCGGAUGAUUGUGGUUCCACAUGCUGAGGAGGAGAGAGACAAUAGGCUUUUAACUAACCACCAAGUGCAAUGGUUGAGAGAGUGUCAGAAAGCACCAAUGGCAGAAAGACCCCUUUGCUCUCAGCCAUGCCCUCCAUUGCUCUAGAGCUGGAAGGCACAAAGGACUGCCUCAAUCCUUCAAUGCGAAACAAGCCAUAAACUGUCUUGCUUCCAGCUCUUUAGGAAGCUGAGAAAGAACUCGCUUUCCACAGUGCUGUUUAAGCAUAUGAGGAAACACUCAUACAAAUGCAGCUCAAACGCCAUUUCUUACCAGUGCUUAACUCGCCGCUUUAGGACUUCUGCUUCUGCCGCAAUUCCACCUUGCCAACCCGGUGAGACGAAAUGCCUACAUCUUCCCCUGAAGCAACUGGGCUGUGUCCAAAAUGAUUGAGCGUCCACGUGCUUAGGAGGUGAUAGACUGCACGCCUUUUUCCAACCUCCAUUGUGCACUGGUGGAGAGAGUGUUGGAAAGCAGCUGUGUCAGAAAGACCCCUUUGCUCUCAGCUCUGCCCUCCAUUGCUCUAGACGUGGAAUGCACAAUGCACUGGCUCUACCCCUCAAAGUUCCACAACCCACAGGCCAUCUUCCUUCCAUCUCUUUAGGAAGCUGAGAAAGAACUCGCUUUCACCAGUGCUCUUUCUGUGUCCUGGCAACAUCUCAUACAAAGGCUGCUGAUAUGCCGUUUCUUUUCAGCGCUUAACUCGCUGAUUUAGAACUUCUGCUUGCCAGAUUUACACCUUGCCAACCCGGCUCAGACAAAAUGCCUACAUCUUCCCCUUCAGCAACGGGAACGAGGCCCAGAUGAUUGUGCCUCCACAUGUUUAGCAAGAGGAGACAAUAGGCUUUUUACAAACUGCCAUUGUGCACUGGUGCAGAGGGUGUCACAAUGCACCUAUGUCAGAAAGGUCCCUUUCAUCUCAGACGUGCCCUCCAUUGCUCUAGAGGUGGAAGGCACAAAGCACUGCCUCCAUCCUUCAAUUGGAGAAAAGCAAUAAACUGUCCUCCUUCCAGCUCUUUAGGAAGCUGGGAAGGCACUCGCAUUUCACAGUGCUCUUACAGCAUCCUGGGAACAUCACAUACAAAGACAACUUAACGCCGUGUCAUUUCAGCCCUUAACUCACCAAUCUGCAACAUCCGCUUCUGCCACAUUUCCAUCUUGCCAACCCGGCUCAGACAAAAUGCCUACAUCUUCCCCUUGAGCAAUGGGGACGACGCCCGGAUGAUUGUGGUUCCACAUGCUGAGGAGGAGACAGACAAUGGGCUUUUAACCAACCGACCUUGAGCAGUGGUUUGGGGAGUGUCAGAAGGCACCAAUGUCGGAAAGGCCCUUUACUCUCGGCCGUGCCCUCCAUUCCUCUAGAGGUAGGAGGCACAAGGCACUGGCACCACCCCUGAAGGGGAUCAGAAAGCACCUAUGGCAGAAAGCCCCCUUGGCUCUCAGCUGUGCCCUCCAUUGCUCUGCAGGUGGAAGGCACAAAGCACUGCCUCCAUCCUUCAAUGGGAGACAAGCCAUAUAUUGUCUUGCCUCCAGCUCUUUAGGAAGCUGACGAACAACUCGCUUUCCACAGUCCCCUUACAGCAUACCAGGUACCUCUCAUACAAAGGCAGCUCAAACGCCAUUUCUUCCCAGUGCUUAACUCGCAGCUUUAGGACUUCUGCUUCUGCCGCCAUUCCACCUUGCCAAUCCGGCUCAGACGAAAUGCCUACAUCUUCCCCUGAAGCAACUGGGCUGAGUCCCAAAUGAUUGAGCGUCCACGUGCUUAGGAGGCGAUAGACUGCACGCCUUUUUCCAACCACCAAUGUGCACUGCUGGAGAGAUUUUCGUAAAGAAGCUAUGUCAGAAAGGCCCCUUUGCUCACAGCCGUGCCCUUCAUUGCUCUACAGGUGGAAGGCACAAGGCACUGGCUCUGGAUCCACCCCUCAAUAGGAGACAAACAACAUCUUGUCCUGCUUCCAGCUCUGUAGGAAGCUGAGAAAAAACUCCCUUUCCACAGUGCCCUUACAGCGUCCUGGGAACAUCUCAUACAAAGGAGGCUGAACACCGUUUCCUUCAUCACUUCACACCCCAGUCUGGGACUUCUGCAUCCUGCACAUUUCCACCUUGGCAACCUGGCUCAGACAAAAUGCCUACAUCUUCCCCUUCAGCAACGGGCACGAGGCCCAGAUGAUUCUGCUUCCACAUGCUUAGCAGGAGCAGACAAUAGGCUUUUUACAAACCGCCAUUGUGCACUGGUGCUGAGAGUGUCAGAGUGCACCUAUGUCAGAAAGGGCCCUUUGCUCUCAGCCAUGACCUCCAUUGCUCCAGAGGUGGAAGGCACAAAGCACUAUCUCCAUCCUUCAAUUGGAGACAAGCCAUCAACUGUCCUGCUUCCAGCUCUGUAGGAAGCUGAGAAAGAUCUCGCUUUCCACAGUGCUGUUACAGCAUACGAGGAAACUCUCAUACAAAGUCAGCUCAAACGCCAUUUCUUCCCAGCACUUAAUUUGCCGCUUUAGGACUUCUGCCACUGCUGCAAUUCUACCUUGCCAACCUUGCUCAGAUGAAAUGCCUACAUCUUCCCCUGAAGCAACUGGGCUGAGUCCCAAAUGAUUUAGCAUCCACCUGCUCAGGAGGCGAUAGACUGUAAACCUUUUUCCAACCACCAUUGUGCACUGGUGGAGAGAGUCUCAGAAUGCAGCUAUGUCAGAAAGACCCUUUUGCUCUCAACCAUGCCCUCCAUUGCUCUAGACGUGGAAUGCACAAUGCAUUGGCUCCACCCCUCAAGGGGCCACAAGCCACAGACCAUCUUUCUUCCAUCUCUUUAGGAAGCUGAGAACAAACUCACCUGACGUAUAAAAAGGAAUCAUGCCCUUUAUGUGCCAGAAAACCCCGGGAGACAUGCCAAAAACACUCUCUGCACACUCUCAAAAAGCCACACAUUCAUGCCUGUACGACCCAACAGGCAUACCAGAAGCACCCACGUUGCAUGCCAGAACCACCUGUAACCACCUGCCGGACACAGUGGAACAACGAUUCUGAGACUGCAGAACCAUCUCUUCAACAUGCCAGCCACACACAAUGACAUGACCGAACCUGAUUCCAAACACAGCACAACGACAUGCCAGACACAUUGUAAACACCUGUUGGAUAUGCCGCAAACAUGUGCCAGAAACACUGAAACCAGCUGAGGAGUAUGUAAGAACGGGGGCCAGAAAUGCCACAAGCACCUGUCUUACAAGCCAGAGCCACGAGCCCAAAAAGCAGGAAAGAUCUCCCGGACACACCAAAAUAACCUGCCGGUGACGCCAGAACCACUUGGCGGACACCCAGGGAUCACCUGCCGGGCACGCCCGAAGCACCUCACAGACGUGCCAGAACAACAUGCCAGCCAUGCAGGAACCAGCUCCCAGACAGACCAGAAGAACCUGCCGGACACGCCGGAACCACUUGCCGAGCAUGCAGGAACCACCUGCUCGACACGCAGGACCCGCCUGCUGGACCUGCCAAAAUCACCUGUCGGCUCCACCAGAACCACUUGGCGGACACUCCGGAAUCAUGUGCCGGACAUGGCGGAACCAGCUCUCAGACACACCAGAACCACGUGCCGGACACGCCGGAAGCACCUGCCGAGCAUGCCGGAUCCACCUGCUUGACUCACCAGAAACACCUGCCGGACACGCCAAAAUCACCUGCCGUGUACGCCAGAACCACCUGGCGGACACUCCAGAAUCACCUGCCGCGCAUGGCGGAACCACCUCUCAGACGUGCUGGAAGCACGUGCCGGACACGCCGGAAACACCUACCGGACAGACCGGAACCACCUGCUGAGCACGCCGGAGCCACCUGCUCGACUCGCCGGAACCACCUGCCGGACAGUCCAAAAUCAACAGCUGGCUAUGCGGGAACCACCUGGUGGACAGUCCGGAAUCACCUGCCGGGCAUGCAGGAACCACUUCUCAGACGUAACAGAACCACGUGCCGGACACGCUGGAACCACGUCCUGGACAGACUGCAACCACCUGCCGGACACGCCUGGACCACCUGCCGAGCAUGCCGGAACCACCUGCUCGACUUGCAGGACCCACGUGCCGGACGCGCCAAAAUGAUCUGCCAGAUACACCAGAACCACUUACCUGACACUCCGGAAUUACCUGCCGGACUCACCAAAAACACCUCCGGGUACGCCAGAACCACUUGCCGGACACUCCGGAAUCACCUGUUGGGCAUGCGCAACCACCUCUGAGACCUACCAGAACCACGUGCUGUGCACUCCGGAACGACCUACCGGACAGACCGGAAUCACCUUUCGGGCAUGCCGGAACCACCUGUCGGAUGUGCCAGGAACACGUGCUGGAGACGCCGGAAGCACCUGCCGACCAGGCUGGAACCACCAGCUGAACAUGCCAAAAUCACCUGCCGGUUAUGACAGAAUCACUUGGAGGAAUCUCCGGGAUCACCGGCCGGGCAUGCAGGACCCACCACUGAGACAUACCAGCAGCACGUGCCAGACACGCCGGAACCACCUCUCAGACAUGCCAGAACCACAUGUCAAUGGCACCAGAAGCACCUGCCAAGCACGCCGGAACCACCUGCUCAACUCACCAGAACCACCUACCUGACACGAAAAAAUCACCUGCCCUCUAUGCCAGAACAACUUGGCGAACACUCCGGAAUCACCGGCCGGGCAUGCCGGAACCACCUCUCAGACAUGCCAGAACCACAUGCCAAUGACACCGGAAGGACCUCCCGAGCACUCCGCAACCAACUCCAGGACAUACCGGAACCACCGACCGGACACGCCGGGACCACCUGCUUGACUCGUCAGAACCACGUGCCGGAAACGCCAAAAUCACCAGCUGGCUACGCCACAACCACUUGUCGGACACUCCGGAAUCACCUUCUGGGCAUGCUGGAACCACCUCUCAGAGGUACCACAAACACAUGCCGGAGACGGCGGACGCACCUGCCGAGAAUGCCAGAAGUUCCUGCUCCACUCCACAGAACCACCUGCCGGACAUGCCAAAAUCACGGGCCGGCUACGCCAGAACCACUUGACGGACACUCCAGAAUCACCUGCCGGGCAUGCCAGCACAAACUCUCAAAAUGCCAGAAGCACGUGCCGGACAGGCCGGAACCAUCUCCCGGACAGACCGGAACCACAGGAAACACUCGCCGGUGCAACCUGCUUGACUCACCGGUCCCACCUGCCGGAUAUGCCAAAAUCACCUGCCCGCUACACCAGAACCACUUGGCGGACAAGCCGGAAUCACGUGAAGUGCAUGCCGACACAACCUCUCAGACGUGCCAGAACCUCGUGCCGGACACCCCAGAACCACCUGCCGGACACAAGGGAACCACCUGCUGGAAACGCCGGAACCACCGGCUCGACUCGCCGGAACCACCGCCGGACAUGCAA